GUGAGGUACAAGCGUUGCCCGGAUUUACUGGGCGUAAAGUGUUUCGUAGGCGCUUUUGUAAGUUAUGCUUCAAAGACCGAGGCUCAACCUCGGGAAGGGGUGUAAUACUGCAAGAGUUGAGAUAUUUUGGGGCUACUGGAACUAUCGGUGUAGGGGUGAAAUCCGUUGAUAUCGAUAGGAACUCCAAGGGCGAAGGCAGGUAGCUAAGAAUAUUCUGACGCUGAGGAACGACAGCUAGGGGAGUGAAAGGGAUUAGAGACCCCUGUAAUCCUAGCCGUAAACUAUGCUCGCUAGUCCCCCGGAGUAAUUUGGGGGACGUAAGCUAACGCGUGAAGCGAGCCGCCUGGGGAGUACGGUCGCAAGACUA
rnacentral:rRNA from 1 species